GAGGGUAUAGCUCAGUGGUAGAGCUGGUGCUUAGCAUGCACUAGGUUCUAGGUUCAAUCCCCAGUCCCUCCA
rfam:Camelus ferus unplaced genomic scaffold scaffold2403, whole genome shotgun sequence.